UAGUUUUAAUUCAGUGUGACUCUACAAUUUUCAUAGUCUUGAACAUAGUGUUAUAAACUAUUCUUACAUUAUUGUUCAUGUACUGAUAAUUCAAAAACUGCACAGUAAGAGUACCCUAAGAUACUUUUGUAUAAAUAUUUGAGGUGUUUUAUUACAAAAUCAGAAAGUAGGGACUAUCGUAUUUCAUGCUCUGCUGUAACCCGUGCAAUGGGGGGGGCAUUUCACAGGCGCUGCUUGGCUCCGUGGGAAGCGCGUGCCAUGAAAAAGUGAGCUCGGAUCCAUCGGCAGCAGGAGAAGACACGCGGGGUGAUCCGGGCCUAACAAACACUCCAGUGGGCCAACGUGGUUUUCUGCCAGGGACGUGACGUGCCGCGGGGCAUAAAGCAUCUUUUUGAUGACAGACAGAAUUUGCGCUCAGGGAAUUUAAACAGGCAUGUGCAGUGACGUAUGUUUCAGAAGAUGUUCGAUUGGCCAUUCUGCAAGUCAAUAAAGUACUUCACGGUGAGGAUUUUGAUUUGAUGACAGGUUUUUUCGAAAUAUCAUUAUUUAUAUUUUUUUUGGUUAUGUAUUUCUGCUGGACUGCGAUUUACCCUCAUGUCCUUGAAGAUCGAUCGGUUGACCGUGAUAGACGUAAUGAGCACUCCUGCGAUAGGCAAACUGAGGGGUCCAGUGCCCCCCUCCACCUGAGGUUUGAGGCGCCGGAGUAGCAGCCUCUCAAAAGUCUUCAUUAUAACAGAUGUGAGAUGUCAACUGGUCUACAGUCCUUCAUCCCUGCAGGUCUUGUCACUUUAGGCACUGGGACAAAGCCAUAAGGUCUUCCACAAGCCAGGGACACAUCCCGUUAGAAGAUUCUUGUUAAAGCACAGCGAGCUCUGACGCACAUUCAUUCAGAGCUUUACUUCUCAUAAGUUUUUAACCCAAUGAAACAUUUUUCAACAACAGAAAUACAAUCCCCAAAACACAACCACUCAAAAUGUAACUAAACGACAAGAUUAAAUGUAAUAAAUGUCAAUGCUGGAAAAAAAAUUAACCAAACAGAGAAAACCUCAUGUUUUUUCCAUGCCGACAGCAGGGGCAGGCUGAAAAGCAAAUCCCUCCAAGAAAUUCACCUGCCUCUGGAGCAGGAGUUUCUGGAAGCUUUUAAACUUCCCUCCCAGCCUGGCGAUUGGUGGAGUAAAAGCCUCAAUCAACUAUGAGGGAGGCAGAAUCAGCUGCAGAGGAGGGACUGGUCCAUCAAUUUAACCAAAAGUUAUUUUGCUAAAGUGAAGGUAAAUAUGCUAACCAAUACUAAACAUUAAACUUUGUAUGUGGACAUUGGAGACAUUUGAAAAAACUCCAACGUGAUGAUCAUCUACAUUCUACAAAGUCUCACAAAACGUUUUUCCAGUUUUUUCUUUUGUUUCAUUUUUUUUACUUUUCGUUUUGUUUUCAGGAAAUUACUUUUGUUUUCCAAAUUGUUUCAUUUUAUUUCUUUUUUUGGAAUUUUAUUUUGGUUUCCGGAAUUUUGUUUGGUUUUCUAAAAUGGAAUGUUUUUUUAUUAUUUGCUUUUUCAACUGUCAUUGUUAUCCUUAAAAGGGUUUUGGCAUUGAGUGAUUUGUUGGUGUGAUUUGCACUUCAGGGCCACCAUAGUUUUUGGAUAUAAAUAUAAAAGCAAUAAACAUGCAUUAGACUUCCUGGUAAUUUAAGAAGUAUAUCCCAUGGAGUAAGUCUUUAUUAAUUGCUAUAAGGCAAUCAUGGAUUACUUGAAUAGCACUAAUGAUCCUGUUUUUCACCGUAUCUCUCACAAAUGUGGGGAGAUUCACAAAUCAGAGUGGGUUUGUGAAUGCACAUUCUAAAAUUUGCACGAUCUGUGAGUUCAUUUUACAAGUGUACCUAUAAAUUCUGCUUGUGAAGCAUCUAUUGUGCAAUUCGGGAAAAUAUAUUGUGAAUUUCUAUUUAUUGUGCAUGUGUGAAACACAUCGUGGGUGUUUGUGAAACACAGGGGGUGCAUUUGUUAAACUUGCACAUUUCCAAAUUUAUAUUGCACGUUUGCCUAAAAUUACAGUUGUGAAUCAGAGCGUGUGGAUUUGUGAAACAGGUUGUGUGCAUUUUUGAUUAUUGAGACUGAAUUAAUUCCAUAGUAUUUUAGCAGCUAACUUUUGAUUAUUUGUGUCUUUCUCAAAACUUUUGGCCAUGACUGUACAGUUUGUUGUUGUGUUUAAACAGGAUUAGCAGGUCUACACACUCCAAGAGAACAGAGAAGAAUGAGACUGAAGCACCAGUUUUUUUUUUUACACAACAUAUUUGAAAAGCAAAUCUGACUCCAGUAUUUGUAUGUUGGUUUGCAUGCUUACUUGAUAUUUUUGUGGGUAGUUUGCAUUAGUCUGCUUAGGUUGACCUAUGCAUCCCAUUUCCAAUCCUCUUCCUGUGUGAAACAUUUAGCCCACAUACAAUUUUCUACUGUAAGGAGUUUGGUUAAUACGAAUGUAAUGUAAAAUGUAAUAAAGUCUUGACAAUGAGAAUAUAGUUAUAUCUAAAAUCAUCCAUACAAUGUGUAACAAAAUACAAACAAAUUACUGCUCAAUUUUUAUGUAGAUUCAUUUAUUUCGUAAAAAAUUGAUGUUUCACAAACAGAUGUUUCCUUCUGUUGAGUUAUUGCUUUUUUUCCUCAACUGUUUGAAUUUAAUGAUCAAAUAAAAUUGAAAAUUAUACAUUUUCUAAUAUUGUAUUGCCAUAUCUUAAAGGCAAUGGUUUAGGUAUUUUGCUAGUAUAUGUUUCUAUUUACCUUUAACUAUUUUAACCCCAGUGUUUUCCAGCAGGUGAUUUAUUUAUUUUCUUAUAUUCCUAAUUUUACUGCUAUACUUCUAAAUUGUUUAUGUGAGCACUGGUAUGUUUUUUAUUUUUAGUAACUUCUUGUCAAGCAGUUUCAGUUGCAACAUCUUUGCAUGAAAAGUGCUGUAUAAGUAAAGUUUGUAUGAUUUUUGUAUUUGCAUAGUUUUAAGUUGGGCAACAUUGCAGUUUGUGCUUCUGCUCCAAGUGUCCCAAAGUAUUUGAAAAAAAGAUGCAAUGAAUAAUAAAAUAUUGCAAUUUAAUAAAUACAACUUGAAACUAAAACAUAGGAAUAAUAUAUUUUAUUGAAAAAUAAUAGAAUUGGCUGUAAUACACAAGGCUUUUGUGCUCUGAAGGUGAAGAAUCUACCGUAUUCUUUUUGCUCAUUUAUAAAUGUUAAAAGUUGAAAUACUUAAAAAAUAAUAAUAAAUUAACUCCAAAAGUUCAUUUUAGAAUUUGCGGAAAAACCUUAAAAUAACUCCAACAUUCACUUUUAAAAUUAGGGUUUGUGUAUUUUUAAAUAUUUCUGGAACCUCUAAAUUGAAAGUUAAUCAAGUUUUGGAAAUUCUGUGUUUCUUUCUGGUGAAUAAGGUUAGAUCUCCGGUUUCCUUGACAUUAUUGUUUAAUUCCUCUUCUUGCAGGUUCAGAUUUCCAUCAUCAUUUGCAUUUACUUCUAUUCUGUGAGAGUGACUACAGUCAAACCACCAACUUUAAUUCACUCACUAUUCCAUCAGUGAUACAGAAGUCCUGGGCACACAGGAAAAGCAGAUCCUUUUCAUUCUUUUAUACAUUAGAAAGUUAAGGAGAUUUGUGUGUCUGUAGCAGAAGUUUUCAUGCGAUGGGAGAAAGAAGACUUACAGAUUGGAACACUGCUCUCCUUGACUGCUUUGAGGAUGCCAGCACUUGUUGCUAUGGUUGCUGGUGUGGUCCUUGCCUUGCUUGUACCGUUUCAGGAAGAUUUGGAGAGAGCUAUUGUCUUCCUGUAUGUGAUUUAGUGACUACAGGGUCACAGAUUUUGGGGUUCCCUGCCUGUGUUCCUCCCGUUGCUGUCUCCAUGAGGGCUGCCAUGCGGAACAGAUAUGGCAUUAAGGGCUCCAUCGCUGCUGACAUUGCUGCAUCUUGUUGCUGUACAUUGUGCAGCUGGUGUCAGAUGCAUCGUGAAUUAAAGCAUCAAAAGAAAGCCCCAGUUGUCAUCAACAUGCAGCAGCAACAUGUUAUCAACAUGCAGCCUCCAGCUAUGAUGAUGAUGCCCCAAGUUGCUAUGGCGCCCCAAGUUGCUAUGGCGCCCACUUUUAUGAGCCAACCACAGACCAUAAUGACUUUAAACUAACAUUUUAAGUUGGAUUUUUUUUUCAGAUUAUCUUCCAGAUUUAUUUAGAGUUUAUUAAAGAGUUGGUCUACACCUGCACGUCUGAAAGCAUUUAAUGAUGUAAAUUUGAAAACACAGAUCUUUGAACUAAAGAAAAUACUUUUUCAUAAAUGUUCUGUCUAUUCUGAUUUGCCACAUACCCUUGCAAAAUAAAGAAAAACGUAAAAAUGUGA